rnacentral:snRNA from 8 species
AUAUAUUUUAUAAAAAAAAAAAAAAAUCUGUUCUUAUCAGUUUAAUAUCUGAUACGUCCCCCAUCGGGGGACUACAUAUUAAAUGGAUUUUUCGAACAGGGAGUCGGAAAUGGGGCUUGCUCCGUCCGCUCCACGCAUCGACCCGGUAUUGCAGUACCUCCGGGAAUGGUGCACCACUU